CUUGGUCUAGUUGGUUAGGACGCCUGCCUGUCACGCAGGAGAUCGCGGGUUCGAUUCCCGCAGG
rnacentral:tRNA from 1 species